rnacentral:rRNA from 1 species
GGGGCAACCUGGCGGCGAGCGGCGAACGGGUGCGUAACACAUCGGAACAUGUCCAUUCGUGGGGGAUAGCCCGGCGAAAGCCGGGUUAAUACCGCAUGAGCCCGAGAGGGGAAAGUGGGGGACCGCAAGGCCUCACGCGGAUGGGUUGGCCGAUGUCCGAUUAGCUAGUUGGCGGGGUAAGAGCCCACCAAGGCGAUGAUCGGUAGCUGGUCUGAGAGGAUGAUCAGCCACACUGGGACUGAGACACGGCCCAGACUCCUACGGGAGGCAGCAGUGGGGAAUUUUGGACAAUGGGGGCAACCCUGAUCCAGCCAUUCCGCGUGAGUGAAGAAGGCCUUCGGGUUGUAAAGCUCUUUUGUCCGGAGCGAAAAGGUUACGGUGAAUAUCCGUGACUACUGACGGUACCGGAAGAAUAAGCACCGGCUAACUACGUGCCAGCAGCCGCGGUAAUACGUAGGGUGCGAGCGUUAAUCGGAAUUACUGGGCGUAAAGCGUGCGCAGGCGGUUUUGUAAGCCAGAUGUGAAAGCCCCGGGCUUAACCUGGGAAUGGCAUUUGGGACUGCAAGGCUGGAGUGUGGCAGAGGAGACUGGAAUUCCUGGUGUAGCAGUGAAAUGCGUAGAUAUCAGGAGGAAUACCGAUGGCGAAGGCAGGUCUCUGGGCUGACACUGACGCUCAUGCACGAAAGCGUGGGGAGCAAACAGGAUUAGAUACCCUGGUAGUCCACGCCCUAAACGAUGUCGACUGGUUGUUGGGGGUUUGACACUCUCAGUAACGAAGCUAACGCGUG